rnacentral:lncRNA from 10 species
GAUCAGCUUCCCACUGGGUCCUGCUUAUACCAGGAUGUGAAAUGCUGACUAGCCCAAGGUGUUGAACAUGGCUAGGAACACAUCAACUGCUGAUCAAUGGAGAAGAGGCCUAAGGAAGAG